rnacentral:sRNA from 1 species
GUGUACUUACGGAAAAUCGUAAACAAUUGCACGCUCAAACUUAGAUACGAAGAAGAAUACAGAGUUUUAUUGAAAGAAAGGGCUUUGUCAUGUAGCGGAACUGCCCUGGAGCUUAAGUUGGAGGUCGGAACAGUCCAUGAGCAUGGCAGUGAAGUGCAGGUUGAGGCUCCAAUACGAUGUGCCGUUUCAAUACGAAAGAGUGCAGCAGUUACAUGAAUGCAUGGAGAGCCUAGUCUGAAAAAAAAACCUGAAUAAUUUUAUGUAAAAUUCUAUUGCAUAUGAUUUUCAAUUGGUAAAAUCUAGAAAUAAAUUGUACUUAUAUUUGCCUAUUAAUGCAAUUAAACAAAUAAUUAGAUUG